rnacentral:lncRNA from 1 species
AUCUUUUGACCUUUUUUUUUAUUGUUUUUAAUUAAUUUGAGAAAGAAGAUUCGAACAUGAUUCGAAGUUAGUUGUUAGAAAACCAACAUAAAGAUCUAAAAGCAUUGAUCAUAAAUAUAUUCAUCAAUGUAUUGCAUUCGGUUGGGGUUGAUUGAGUUUAAAUAUCAUCUUGUGUUUAUGCAUUCAAAAUUUCGAGAAUAACAGUAACAUUACAGGGAGGUUAUCGAACCUCCGAUGCAUUUUUAAUUUAAUUAAGUCAAUCAUCACAUGUAUUUUCAGUAGUAGCCACAACAAGAAUCAAAGAGAAUGUCACCGGAGUUGGAGGACAUCA